UCCGGUUUGUCACCGGCGGUCUCCUUAGAGUUCCCACCAUUACGUGCUGGCAACUAAGGACAAGGGUUGCGCUCGUUGCGGGACUUAACCCAACAUCUCACGACACGAGCUGACGACAGCCAUGCAGCACCUGUGUUCGAGUUCCCGAAGGCACCAAUCCAUCUCUGGAAAGUUCUCGACAUGUCAAGGCCAGGUAAGGUGGGGAUGACGUGUCCUUGAUAGG
rnacentral:misc_RNA from 1 species